CAAAGAGCGCGAGGAAGAUGAAAAGAGCCACAUGAAAGGAUGAAGGUCCGUCCUGAAAGAGCUGUGAGGAUGAUGAGGAGAAGAGCGAGGUGUAAAUUGAUCGGGGCUGAAGAGAGACGUCAGCGGCUGCUCUUUGGGAAUCUCACCAGAGUUAAGCGUGACUGACACUGAGCCCCUUUAGUCUGACAUCGCAAAACCAAAAUCUAUCAAAAAAGGUGAGGUACUAGUUGUUGAAGAGCGACCUUUGACCCCUAAUCACUGACCCUUUAUAUCACGCCGCUGAUCCCUGCAUCGAAGCAGAUGUGUACGGAGAACGUUUUAACUGACAGAGAUGCAUCUUGGAAAUAUCUGACUCUGCGGCUGAAGUUGUUCAUUGAUUAUUGACUCACGAAACACCUGAAGACGGCCACCUCCUGAAGACCUUGUCUCCGAGCUCUCGGGUUGAUCCUGACCUGAGCCGUCGAUGGCGUGUGCAUCAGGAGCUUCAGGAGCUUCUAUAUUAAGCAGCGGGUUGUGUAUGAGUUUGUAUGACGGAGCGUGUUGAUGCCCACGCUUCGAUCGAGACACAGAUGGCGCAGUAUUUUAGUGGCUGUUGCGUUCUCUGUGUGGGUGUUGAUAUUGUACUACAUGUACAGAAUAACCCCUCCGCAGUCUUGGGUUAUGUAAAGUUUAACUGCAUCUCGCCGUCCAAAAGUUUGAGCAGCCGAUCCGACGAGAGCAGAUCAUCGAGCCAAACAACCCUGGAGAAGAGCUGGAGUAUUAAUGAUGCUUACGGUACAGAGAAACAUCAGUAUCUAGAACAUAAUUCAUUCCUGGGAUUAAACCUGAGUUUCCAGCUUCAUUCCUCCAGUCUUCAGAGUCACGUGAUCUUCAGAAAUCAGAAAAAUAUACUGAUUAACUACUUAACAAACAUUUCUGAUUAUUAUCAAAGUUCAUCAGUAUUCAUCAGUAUAGUAAAUGAUCAUAUUAUCAGUUUUUGCUGCUCAGUGUUUUCGUGGAAACUCGGAUUCAUA